AGUGGGGUUCUUCCGGGUCCCACCUGACUGUCACCGGAAGUAGAUCCUAGCCUGCUUAGUUGAUCCUAGAGGUAGCCAAUCCGAGGAGAAAGUGAGAGGCGCCAAUGAGAACUCGGGUGUGGCGGAGUGGGCGGGCCUGUGAGGCGCCUAAGCGGUUGGCUUGCGGGCCUCGCUGCUGGCCAUUGGCCGCCCGCGGCCGGACUCUGCCGUCUCAGGGCCCUCGGUGCGAUCUCAGGGCAGCGACUCCCUGGGCCGGCCCGCUCUGGAGCCCACCCUGCAGGGCGUGGUGGCACUCAGCGUCCCAGCACUCGGGACACUUGGAUGUGAACUCCUUCCUCUGGACUGAAAUGGCUGCCUCCCAUCUGCAGGGCUAGUCAGUACCUGGUCCUGUCUGAGGCGGCACUGCUGCUGCUGCUGCUGCUGGACUCAGAGUCUGAGCUGCUCCGGGGAAGGUUGCAGUCAUUACGGUACACCAAGAAACUCUUCUUCACCGGCUGGUUCCCACUGCUGAAGCCAUUGGCUGGGAGGAACACUGCACCUGCUGCAGAGGAGGCUUCUAGAACACCAGGCCAUGGCCAUGCAUUGAAAAGGUGAGUCCUCAGGCUCUGGAUCCCCUAGUCUCCCUUUCCAACACCCAUGACACAGAGAUGGAAUAAGAUCAGCUUUAUUAUUGGCAUGAAGCAGGAGAAAAGUGAAAUUCAGAGAAGCGAAGUUCACUGGGCCCUGACCAUUCCCAGGUUCUCAUGAUGUAGCCCAGGUUGACCUUGAACUCCAAAACCUGCCUCAGCUUCCCAAGUGUGCUGGGAUUACUAGCAAAAACUCCUUGAAAUUUCUCUGGCCCCUAUGUCCCUUUCCCACCUUCUCCUAAACCUCUCCAGCCUGCACCUCUUCCUGUCAGAGCCAGCAGUGAUAUAAAGGGCCAGGAACGCUUGUCCCAGGAAAUCCUGUGCCAAGACAGGGAGUCAGCCAGACGGGGAGGGGCCCUGAGUCCCAGGCCCACCCGCCGCCGCCACCACCGCUGCUGCUGCUGCUGCUGCUGCUGCUGCUGCUCUUGACCAAGAUAACUCCAAAGUGCAGGUGACAGAGGGCCAUUGCCAGAGCCACAGCCCCACGUGUUCUCUGCUUCUUGAUGAUCUCCCAACCAAAUUCUUCCCGGUGCAGCCCACAGCAUCCUCACCUUCUGCAGGUCCCAGGAGGCCCGGGAGCCGCUUACUGGGGUCCGAUUUGGAGAAGGUGUCCAGGUCUAGCAGAUUCCUAGAGAAAAGCAACCAACAGAUGGACAGAGGGCUAGCUCAUUCUGCAGCCCACCACCUUGACACAGUCCUAAACCGGGCACCCGGAAGAGACCUGGGAUUCAAAUCGUACUCCCUCCCUAUUGCUAUUCCCAGUGAGUGUUGGGGUCCACACUCCGCAUUCGGGACGGUACCAGAAAUCUCUGCCAAUUGGCUCCAUAUGUGCUCACACAGUCUCCAAGGACCAAGGAGGCGGCUCGCCCCAGAACUUUGGCCCCUUGUGGCCCAGCUCUUAAGGAAUCCCUGCAGCCCACCUUUUGAAUUGGUAGGCUUGAGCCCGCUUUUAUAGGGUGGGGCUGCCCAGGGAGACACCCCCCCCCCAUCCUGCCAGUGAUAAUGA